rnacentral:lncRNA from 1 species
UGGGGAUGGUUGGUUGAAUGACUAAGUACCUAGGGGAGUUGUUUGAUGCAGGAAUCAAGAUAAGGGCCUUAAGUAACAUCAUUGAGUGAUCGUGGUCCAGCUGUCAAGCAAGAGAAAUUCGAGUCAAUAGAGGACCGAUAAGCUUAAAGCUUCGUAGAUGUGGCAAAGGUAUGAUCUAGCAUUUACUUAUGUAGAUCUAGCAUUUACGAUGGUCUACGACACAUCGUACUAGCCAUACACUUCGUCAUGACUCUUAGCCAAUCUCGAAGCUAUCAACACCAAGGUCGAUAUCUAGAAGCAUCACAUCGAUACUCUUACUCCAGCAACGUGACUAUCCAUACUAGUGCUCGGCCAUCGAACCAUCAUCAUGAAACAUGAUCCGACCACCAGACUUGAUAAGCCAUCCUCUACUUAGCAGAUACUGAUAUAACCGGCCUUCCAUUGCCAUCAUGUGGGUCUACGCCCUACAUAAUGCAUAUGGCGCCUAUCCUACUCACCAACCCAACGUUUAUUGUAAGAUAUCCCACUUAGCCUUUGCGGCUAAAGCCAUCCAACCAUAGCCGGAUCGUCCAUAGUCCCGUCUAACCGUCUGGUUAAGAUCUAGGUGUGAUCGACCAGUUAUAAGUCUGGCCCAAAGGCUCACGGACCUUCUUACCUGAUCCGACCCAAAGCCUGGAUCCAUACAAGAGAGUAAGGCCCAAGACCAAACCGGAUUGCCUUGCAACCAAUCAGACCUUGCGACACAACACUCCGGUUAAACUAACCGUCCAUCCGUUUGACUAUGCAGCCGCGGACUGUCCACUUGGUUCGGCCUAGCCUUGAACCAAUGGCACCGUUUGGAACUCACACCCUUUGGGAACUUGUACCCUUUGGACACUCGUGCCUCUUGGCAACUCAUGACCCUUGGCAACUCGCACCCAUGCAGAUGUUCCAACCGUUCGACCUAACUGUCCGUACGGACUGUCUGGUUUGUACGUGUGUCCGGCCUAUGGCCAAAGGACCACGCCUUAACCUACACAAGUCAUGAACCAUUGUGACUGUUCAGGGAAGGGUUGCAACGGUUCAUAACAGAACUGAACCGCCCCUAUCCAAUUGGAUCACCUGAGGCCGGUUUAGACCAUGCGCGCGCCUAACUCGACGGUUAUUGACCGCGACCGCAUUACUCAACCAGAACCACGGUUAUAACCAAUCCCAACAUAUCCACAAGGCCACGCCAAUGUACAGAAGGAGUAGAAGAAGAAUUGGAUGAAAAGAAUGAGAAGAAUAGGACACAAUCCAAACGCCCAUGGCUAGACCGGUUCGGACUGUCCGAUUGUCUUAGCCGAUGAGUCGGUUGUUACCCCACUGACCCUAUCUGUCUGAACCACGGCUUUGGAGUCCUUCACCCGACCUUUCUCUAUGCCUUGGGUAUUCAUAACCACACGGCCUCCUCUCUCCUAAACCGUUCUCCUUGCCGGAGAUACAAAACCACCAUGACCGGCCCUUUUCUGGCCGAUCUCUUGGCUCAUACUCUCUCUCUCUCUCUAUACGUUUUUCUAUGAGCAUUUUACUCUGGAAUUUGAUAAUGAAACCAAAAGGAGAGGCCCCAUAUUUAUAGAAAACGAGGGGGUUGUGCCCUCUAGGCCACUUGCAUCCCAUCGCCCUUUCUGAUUGGGUUUGGGGUCGGUCAUAAGCCCAACCCACGCCCCAAGUCUCCAGGACUUAGCCCACGGCCUUGUCCAAAGACCUAACAGCCCAUGGCCUCAUGGCCGGACCUCACAGCCCGCCACUGACCCGGACCCGGACCAUUGGCCUAAAGCCCGAACAGUCCAUCUAGCUGAGAUGAGCUGACUCUCAGCUGUCUCAGCUGAGUGAGCUAGUAGUCCAGCUAGUGGAGCUGACUUAGUAGAGACUGAGCUGGAGUGAACUAAACCUAGCUUCGUUGAGCUGGUUGAGCUACUCGUCUACUUCGUCCAGUUACCGUCUUACUCGUCCUAGCUAUCUCUUAGCUUAUAUAAGGUUAAGUCUAAGUUUCCUUAUGUUCUUUACCUUCUUUUUCGACCAUGGAACGCUUGCCUUGAUGUCCUAAGACUGGCUGGUACGUUUCCUCGAACCAUGGCCGUCCUGACAAUCCUUUCCAGGAUUGGGGGCGUGACAGGCGGACACUUACGGACGUCUUGUGUGUACUGAACAGACAGCCCACGUGGGCCAAAAUCACCCAAACAGUCCACGGGAAGGGCCAGCAUGCGGAGUCCAAGAACCAACGUGCUGAUAUGUGUACUGAUGGACAGACACGGACGUCCUGUGUGUGCUGGCGGACACAGACGGACACACACGGACAGCCACUGACGUCAUGUGUGUGCUGGCGGACACCCACGGACAUCCUGUGUGUACUGACCAGACAGCCCACGUGGGCCAAAAUCACCCAAACAGUCCACAAAAAGGGUCAGCGUGCUGAGUCCAACGACCAAUGUGCUGAUAUGUGUACUGAUAGACAGCCACGGACGUCCUGUGUUUGCUGACGGACACACACAGACACACACGGACAGCCCCGAAUGUCCUGUGUGUGCUGACGGACACACAUGGACACACACGGACAGCCCCGGAUGUCCUGUGUGUGCUGAUGGACACCCACGGAUAUCCUGUGUGUACUGAACAGACAGCCCAUGUGGGCUAAAAUCACCCAAACAGUCCACGGAAAGGGUCAGCGUGCUGAGUCCAACGAUCAACGUGCUGAUAUGUGUACUGAUGGACAAUCACGGACGUCCUGUGUGUGCUGACGGACACACAUGGACAGCCCCGGACGUCCUGUGUGUGCUGACGGACACUGUCACGCCCCCAAUCCUGAGUAGGAUUGUUGGGACGGCCAUGGUUCGAGGAAACGUGCAAGCCAGUCCUAGGACAUCAAGGCAAGCGUUCCAUGGUCGAGAAAGAAGGUUAAGGACAUAAGGAAACUUAGACUUAACCUUAUACAAGCUAAGAGACAGCUAGGCGAGCAAGACGGUAGCUGGACGAAGUGGACGAGUAGCUCGGCCAGCUCAAGGAAGCUAGGUUCAGUUCACUCCAGCUCAGUCCCUACUAAGUCAGCUCCACUAGCUGGACUACUAGCUCACUCAGCUGAGGCCGCUGAGAGUCAGCUCAUCUCAGCUAGACGGACUGUCCGGGCUUUAGGCCGAUGGUACGGGUCCGGGUCAGUGGCGGGCUGUGAGGUCCGGCCAUGAGGCCAUGGGCUGUUGGGUCUUAGGACAAGGCCAUGGGCUAAGUCCAGGAGGCUUGGGGCGUGGGUUGGGCUUGUGGCGAAGGGAUGCAAGUGGCCGAAAGGGGACAACCCUUGGCCGAUGGUGCCCAUUCGCUAGCAAGUCAUGCCUGUUCAUGGGGCAAGACUUACCCCCUCAUUUUCUAUAAAUAUGGGGGCUCUCUGGUCGAUUUCAUUAUCCAAUUCCAGAGUAAAAUACUCAGAGAAACCGUAGAGAGAAAGAAAGAGAGAAAGAGAGAGUUCCGGCCAAGAGAAAGGCCGAUUGUGGUGGUGUUGUGUUCCGGCGACUCUGAUCGUUUGAGAACUAACUCCGGUCAAGAAUGGGAGAUCAAGACAAGGAGAAGAGCAUGGAGAACCCAGACGUGGUUCACAAGGUAUGUGAUGGGCCCUGGCUCCAUCAGACCGAACGGACGGUCCAUGCGACCGCACCGCGGCUCUGCUCGGUUCCUAAGUCCCAUCCGGCUCUCCUUAUCUGUUUCAAUUCGUUUCUCUUCUCUUCUCUCUGGUUAAACACGAAAGGUUGUGUUGGUUGAGUCCAAGGGACACGUCCCUAGGCUUUGGCCGAACAUAAUCAAACCGCUAGCCUAGACACGGGUCGGUUAGUGGGAUGAUCCGGUUGCACCAAGACUGGGCGGUUAGGACGAACGGUUGGGAAUGUCCCAAAGGGCACGAGUUGUCAAGAGUCACGAGUGUCCAAGAGGCACAAAUGGCCAAAGGGUACAUGUUCCAAACGGUGUCUUUCGGGACAGGUUAGGACCGAUCCUUAUGGAUCAGCCUAUGGCUUGUCUUGUCAAGACAAGGUCACGGUUUGUCUAAGCCAAGGUAGAGUCGGAAGGUCUGACCGGUUGCUAAGCCUUCCGGAUUAGGCUUGAGGCUUACUCGGCCGAUUGGAUCCAGGCCUAAGGCCGGAUCAGGUAAGGGAGUCCGUUGGGCCAUCGAGCCGGACUCCAUCGGCCGGUCGCACCUAGAUUCUAUCCGGUUAGACGGAUUGGUCAUUGGGGACGAUCCGGAUCUGUUAGUGUGUUUUUUUAUCUAUUCUGGACUAUCUAUCUGAUUCUAAGUCAAGGGGUGGUUGGUUGAAUGAGUUAGGAUACGGUAGGUAGGUUCAUACGUUUUAUGAUUAUGUUGACUGAGGUUUAUCUAAGUUCUAGGAACCAAGACAAGCAUUGUAGAAUCAAUCCGUUCUAUUCUCGGUUAUGAUUAAUGCUUAUCUGGUUGUGGUUUCAGGAACUAAGGAUGGUUCUGGUCAAGCCAAGGAGCCGUGAAGGCUCGGUCAGUGAGAGGCUGUGUAACGUGUGGUUAGAUGAUACUAGGGAUGAACUAGUGAUUGUCUAUGAGACUGUUAAGAAGUUGUGUAUUGAAUCUCAUGUUUCUAAGUAAUACAAAGUUUAUACAUUGUUAUUCCGCUGUGCAAUCUGUUCCUUUGUUUAUGAACCUCAUAUUCGAAUAUGACUUAGCAAAUAAAAGACUUAAAAUGGAUCAAACAAGCAAAGAAAUUAAUAAGUAAGCAUUCGUAUCCAGUUGGGUCAAGAGACCAGGAACGGGUCUUACAGACACACACAGAUGUCUUGUGUGUGCUGACGGACAACCACGGACGUCCUGUGUGUACUGAACAGACAGCCCACGUGGGCCAAAAUCACCCAAACAGUCCACGGGAAGGGCUAGCCUGCUGAGUCCAAGGACCAACGUCCUGAUAUGUGUACUGAUGGACAGCCACAGACGUCUUGUGUGUGCCUACGGACACACACGGAGAGACACGGACAGCCACGGACGUCCUGUGUGUUCUGACGGACACCCACGGACGUCCUGUGUGUGCUGACGUACACCCACGUACGACCUUUUUGUACUGAACAGACAGCCCACGUGGGCCAAAAUCACCCGAGGAGUCCACGGGAAGGGCCAGCGUGCUGAUAUAUGUACUGAUGGACGUCCUGUGUGUGCUGACGGAAACACAUGGACGUCCUGUGUGUGCUGACGGACACACAUGGACGUCCUGUGUGUGCUGACAGACACCACUGACAGCCACGAACGUCAUGUGUGCUGGCGGACACCCACAGACACACACGGACACACACGGACAGCCACAGACGUCCUGUGUGUGCUGCCGGACAGCCACGGACAGCCAUGGACGUCCUGUGUGUGCUGGCAGAAACCCACAGACGUCCUGUGUUUACUGAACAGACAGCCCACGUGGGCCAAAAUCACCAAACAGUCCUCGGGAAGGGCCAUCAUGCGGAGUCCACAAACCAACAUGCUGAUAUGUGAACUGAUGGAUAGAUACGGACGUCCUGUGUGUGCUGACGGACUCAGACGGACACACACAGACAGCCACGGACGUCCUGUGCGUACUGACCAGACAGCCCACGUGGGCCAAAAUCACCCACUGACGGACACACACAGACAGCCACGGACGUCCUGUGCGUACUGACCAGACAGCCCACGUGGGCCAAAAUCACCCGAACAGUCCACGGGAAGGGCCAGUGUGCUGAGUCCAACGACCAACGUGCUGAUAUGUGUACUGAUGGACAGACACAAACGUCAUGUGUGUGCUGACGGACACACACAGACACACGCAGACAGCCACAGAUGUCAUGUGUGUACUGAUGGACAGCCAAGGACGUCCUGUGUGUGCUGAUGGACACCCACGGACGUCCUGUGUGUACUGAACAGACAGCCCACGUGAGCCAAAAUCACCCGAAGAGUCCACGGGAAGGGGCAGCGUGCUGAGUCCAAGGACCAGCGUGCUGAUAUGUGUACUGAUGGACAGCCACGGACGUCCUGUGUGUGCUGACGGAUAGCCACGAACACCCAUGGACGUCCUGUGUGUGCUGGCGGACACCCACGGACGUCCUUUGUGUACUGAACAGACAGCCCACGUGGGACAAAAUCACCCAAACAGUCCAUGGGAAGGGCCAGGGUGCUGAGUCCAAGGACAAAAGUGCUGAUAUGUGUACUGAUGGACAGCCACGGACGUCCUGUGUGUGCUGACGGACACACACGGACACACACAAACAGCCACAGAGGUCCAGUUUGUACUGGCGGACACCCACAGACGUCCUAUAUGUACUCAACAGACAGCCCACGAGGGCCAAAAUCACCCGAACAUUCCACGGGAAGGGUCAGCGUGCUGAAUCCAAGGACCAACGUGCUGAUAUGUGUACUGAUGGACAGCCACGGACAUCCUGUGUGUGCUGAAGGACACACACGCACACACACGGACGUCCUGUGUUUGCUGAUGGACACACAUGGACGUCCUGUGUGUGCUGACAGACAGCCACGGACAGCCACGAAUGUCCUGUGUAUGCUGGCAGACACCCACAGACACACAUGGGCACACACGGACAGCCAUAAACGUCCUGUGUGUGCUGACGGACAGCCACUGACAGCCACAAACGUCCUGUGUGUGCUGGCGGACACCCACGGAUGUCCUGUGUGUACUGAACAGACAGCCCACGUGGGCCAAAAUGACCCAAACAGUCCACGGGAAGGGCCAGCGUGCUGACUCCAAGGACCAACGUGCUGAGUUCAAGGACCAACGUGCUGAUAUGUGUACUGAUGAACAGCCACGGACGUCCUGUGAGUGCUGACGGCCACAAAACGGACACACACGGACACACACAGGCAGCCACGGACAUCCUGUGUGUGCUGGCGGACACCCACAGACGUCCUGUGAGUACUCAACAGACAGCCCACGAGGGCCAAAAUCACCCGAACAGUCCACGGGAAGGGUCAGCUUGCUGAGUCCAAGGACCAACGUGCUGAUAUGUGUACUGAUGGACAGCCACGGACGUCAUGUGUGUGCUGACGGACACGCACAGACACACACGGACAGCUACGCAAGGACCAACGUGCUGAUAUGUGUACUGAUGGACAGCCACGGACGUCAUGUGUGUGCUGACGGACACACACAGACACACACGGACAGCUACGGACGUCCUGUGUGUGCUGACGGACACCCACGGACGUCAUGUGUGUUCUGAACAGACAGCCCACGUGGGCCAAAAUCACCCAAACAGUCCACGGGAAGGGCCAGCGUGCUGAGUCCAAGGACCAGCGUGCUGAUAUGUGUACUGAUGGACAGCCAUAGACUUCCUCUGUGUGCUGACGGACACGCACAGACACACACACACACACGUCCUGUGUGUGAUGACGGACACACAUAGACGUCCUGUGUGUGCUGACGGACACGCACAGACACACACACACACACGUCCUGUGUGUGAUGACGGACACACAUAGACGUCCUGUGUGUGCUGACGGACACGCACAGACACACACACACACACGUCCUGUGUGUGAUGACGGACACACAUAGACGUCCUGUGUGUGCUGACGGACAGCCAUUGACAGCCACAAACGUCCUGUGUGUGCUGGCGGACACCCACAGACACACACGGACACAGACGGACAGCCACAGACGUCCUGUCUGUCCUGGCGGACACCCACAGACAUCUUGUGUGUACUGAACAGACAGCCCACAGGGGCCAAAAUCACCCAAACAGUCCACGGGGAGGGCCACCGUGCGGUGCUGACUGAUGGACAGCCACGGACGUCCUGUGUGUGCUGACAGACACACACGGACGUCCUGUGUGUGCUGACGGACACACAGGGACGUCCUGUGUGUGCUGACAGACAGCCACGGACAGCCACGAACAUCCUGUGUAUGCUGGCAGACACACACGGACACACACACACAGCCACAGACGUCCUGUGUGUGCUGGAGGACACCCACGGACAUCCUGUGUGUACUGACCAGACAUCCCACGUGGGCCAAAAUCACCCGAACAGUCCACGGGAAGGGUCAGCGUGCUGAGUCCAAGGACAAACGUGCUUAUAUGUGUACUGAUGGACAGCCACAGACGUCCUAUGUGUGCUGACGGACACACACGGACACAAUGGACAGCCACAGACGUCCUAUGUGUGCUGACGGACACACACGGACACACACGGACAGCCCCGGACGUCCUGUGUGUGCUGACGGACACACACGGACGUCCUGUGUGUGCUGACGGACACCCACACACGUCCUGUGUGUGCUGACUGCUGACGGACACCCACAGACGUCCUGUGUGUACUGAACAGAUAGCCCACUUGGGCCAAAAUCACCUGAACAGUCCAUGGGAAAGGUUAGCAUGCUGAGUCCAAUGACCAACGUGCUGAUAUGUGUACUGAUGGACAGCCACAAACGUCAUGUGUGUGCUGACGGACACACACGGACAGCCAGGGAUGUCCUGUGUGUACAGAGGAACACCCACGGACGUCCUGUGUGUGCUGAUGGACACCCACGGACGUCCUAUGUAUACUGAACAGACAGCCCACGUGGGCCAAAAUCACCCGAACCGUCCACGGGAAGGGCCAGCAUGCUGAGUCCAAGGACCAGUGUGCUGAUAUGUGUACUGAUGGACAGCCACGGACGUCCUGUGUGUGCUGACAGACACACACGGACGUCCUGUGUGUGCUGACGGACACACAGGGACGUCCUGUGUGUGCUGACAGACAGCCACGGACAGCCACGAAAAUCCUGUGUAUGCUGGCAGACACACACGGACACACACAGACAGCCACAGACGUCCUGUGUUUGCUGACGGACAGCCACGGAAAGCCACAGACGUCAUGUGUGUGCUGGCGGACACCCACGGACGUCCUGUGUACUGAACAAACAGCCCACGUGGGCCAAAAUCACCCAAACAGUCCACAGGAAGGGCCAGCGUGCUGAGUCCAAGGACCAACGUCCUGAUAUGUGUACUGAUGGAUAGCAACGGACGUCCUGUGUGUGCUGACGCACACAGACGAACGCACACGGACAGCCACGGACGUCCUGUGUGUCCUGGCGGACACCCACAGACAUCUUGUGUGUACUGAACAGACAGCCCACGUGGGCCAAAAUCACCCAAACAGUCCACGGGGAGGGCCAGCGUGCGGAGUCCAAGAACCAACGUGCUGAAAUGUGAACUGAUAGACAGACACGGACGUCCUGUGUGUGCUGACGGUCACAGACAGACACACACGGAAAGCCACAGACGUCCUGUGUGUGCUGGAGGACACCCACGGACAUCCUGUGUGUACUGACCAGACAUCCCACGUGGGCCAAAAUCACCCGAACAGUCCAUGGGAAGGGUCAGCGUGCUGAGUCCAAGGACCAACGUUCUUAUAUGUGUACUGAUGGACAGCCACGGACGUCCUAUGUGUGCUGACGGACACACACAGAUAGCCCCGGACGUCCUGUGUGUGCUGACGGACACACACGGACGUCUUGUGUGUGCUGACGGACAUCCACACACGUCCUGUGUGUGCUGACUGCUGACGGACACCCACAGACGUCCUGUGUGUAGUGAAAAGAUAGCCCACCUGGGCCAAAAUCACCCGAACAGUCGACGGGAAGGGUUAGCAUGCUGAGUCCAAUGACCAACAUGCUGAUAUGUGUACUGAUGGACAGCCAUAGACUUCCUCUGUGUGCUGACGGACACACACAGACACACACACACGUCCUGUGUGUGAUGACGAACAUACAUAGACGUCCUGUGUGUGCUGACGGACAGCCAUUGACAGCCACGAACGUCCUGUGUGUGCUGGCGGACACCCACAGACACACACGGACACACACGGACAGCCACGGAUGUCUUGUGUGUACAGACGAACACCAAGGACGUCCUGUGUGUGCUGAUGGACACCCACGGACGUCCUAUGUGUACUGAAAAGACAGCCCACGUGGGCCAAAAUCACCCGAACCGUCCACGGGAAGGGCCAGCAUGCUGAGUCCAAGGACCAGUUUGCUGAUAUGUGUACUGAUGGACAGCCACAGACGUCCUGUGUGUGCUGACAGACACACACGGACAUCCUGUGUAUGCUGGCAGACACACACGGACACACACAGACAGCUACAGACGUCCUGUGUGUGCUGACGGACAGCCACGGAAAGCCACAGACGUCAUGUGUGUGCUGGCGAACACCCACGGACAUCCUGUGUACUGAAAAAACAGCCCACGUGGGCCAAAAUCACCCAAACAGUCCACAGGAAUGGCCAGCGUGCUGAGUCCAAGGACCAACGUCCUGAUAUGUGUACUGAUGGAUAGCCACAGACGUCUUGUGUGUGCUGACGCACACAGACGAACACACACGGACAGCCACGGACGUCCUAUGUGUGCUGGCGGACACCCACAACACGGACAGCCACGGACGUCCUAUGUGUGCUGGCGGACACCCACAGACGUCCUGUGUGUACUGACCAGACAGCCCACGUGGGCCAAAAUCACCCGAACAGUCCACGGGAAGGGUCAACGUGCUGAGUCCAAGGACCAACAUGCUGAUAUGUGUACAGAUGGACAGUCAUGGACGUCCUGUGUGUGCUGACGGACACACACGGACAGCCCCGAACGUCCUCUGUGAGCUGACGGACACACACGAAUGUCCUGUGCGUGCUGACGGACACCCACGGACGUCCUGUGUGUACUGAACAGACAGCCCACGUGGGCCAAAAUCACCCGAACAGUCCACGGGAAGGGUCAGCAUGCUGAGUCCAAGGACCAACGUGCUGAUAUGUGUACUGAUGGACAGCCACGGACGUCCUGCGUGUGCUGACGGACGGACACGGACACACACGGACAGCCACGGAUGUCCAGUGUGUGAUGUAGGACAGCCACGGACAUCCACGGACGUCCUAUGUGUGCUGGCGGACACCCACGGACGUCCUCUGUGUACUGAACAGACAGCCCACGUGGGCGAAAAUCACCCAAACAGUCCACAAGAAGGGCCAGGGUGCUGAGUCCAAGGACCAACGUGCUGAUAUGUGUACUGAUGGACAGCCACGGACGUCCUGUGUGUGCUGACGAACAAACACAGACACACAUGGACCGCCACAGACGUCCUGUGUGUGUUGACGGGAUACACACGGACGUCCUGUGUGUGCUGAUGGACACCCACAGACGUCAUGUAUGUGAUGACGGACACACACGGACAGUCACAGACGUUCUUUGUGUGCUGACGGACAGCCACGGACGUCCUGUGUGUGCUGACGGACACACACGGACGUCCUGUGUGUGCUGACAGACAGCCAUGAACAUCCUGUGUAUGCUGGCGGACACCCACAGACACACACGGACACACAGACAGCCCCAGACGUCCUGUGUGUGCUGACGGACAGCCACAGACAGCCACAGACGUCAAGUGUGUGCAGGCAGACACCCACGGAUGUCCUGUGUGUACUGAACAGACAGCCCACGUGGGCCAAAAUCACCCAAACAGUCCACGGGAAGGGCCAGCGUGCUGAGUCCAGGGACCAACGUGCUGAUUUGUGUACUGAUGGAUAGCCACAGACGUCAUGUGUGUGCUGACAGACACAGACGGACACACACAGACAGCCACAGACAUCCUGUGUGUGCUGGCGGACACCCACGGACGUCCUGUGUGUACUGACCAGACAGCCCACGUGGGCCAAAAUCACCCAAACAGUCCACGGGAAGGGUCAACGUUCUGAGUCCAAGGACCAACAUGCUGAUAUGUGUACUGGUAGAUAGUCACGGACGUCCUGUGUGUGCUGACAGAGACACACGGACAGCCCCGGACCUCCUUUGUGUACUGACGGACACACACGGAUGUCCUGUGUGUGCAGGCGGAUACCCAUGGACGUCCUCUAUGUACUGAACAAACAGCCCACGUGGGCCAAAAUCACCCAAACAUCCACGAGAAGGGCCAGCGUGCUGAGUCCAAGGACCAACGUGCUGAUAUGUAUACUGAUGGACAGCCACAGACGUCUUGUGUGUUCUGACGGACACACAUGGACACACAUGGACAGCCACGAACGUCAUGUGUGUGCUGAGGGACACACAGGGACACACAUGGACAGCCUAAUACGUCCUGUGUGUGCUGAUGGACACACACGAACGUCCUAUGUGUGCUGACGGACACCCACAGACGUCCUGUGUGUGCUGACGGACACACACAGACAGUCACGGACGCCCUGUGUGUGCUAACGGAGAGCCACGGACAGCCCCGGACGUCUUGUAUGUGCUGGCGGACACUCACGGACGUCCUGUGUGUACUGAACAGACAGCCCACGUGGGCCAAAAUCACACAAACAGUCCCCGCGAAGGGCCGGCGUGCUGAGUCCAAGGACCAACGUGCUGAUAUGUGUACUGAUGGACAGCCACGGACGUCCUGUGUGUGCUGAUGGACACACACGGACAGACGCGAACACACAUGGACAGCCACGGAUGUCCUGUGUGUGCUGGCGGACACCCACGGACGUCCUGUGUGUACUGAACAGACAGCCGACGUGGGCCAAAAUCACCCGAACAGUCCACGGGAAGGGUCAACGUGCUGACUCCAAGGACCAACGUGUUGAUAUGUGUACUGAUGGACGGCCACGGACGUCCUGUGUGUUCUGACGGACAGACACAGACACACACGGACACACACGAACAGACACGGACGUCCUGUGUGUGCUGACGGACAGCCAUGGACAGCCACGGACGUCCUGUGUGUGCUGGCGGACACCUACGGACGUCCUCUGUGUAGUGAACAGACAGCCCACGUGGGCCAAAAUGAUGGCAAUGGAAGGCCGGUUAUAUCAGUACAUGCUAAGUGGACGAUGGCUUAUCAAGUCUAGUGGUCGGAUCAUGUUUCAUGACGAUGGUUCGAUGGCCGAGCACUAGUAUGGAUAGUCACAUUUCUGGAGUAAGAGUAUUGGUGUGAUGCUUCUAUAUAUCAACCUUGGUGUUGAUAGCUUCGGUAUUGGCUAAGAGCCAUGACGAAGUGUAUGGCUAGUAUUAUGUGUCGUAGACCAUAGGUACUAAGCCUAGGUGUGAUUGUUAAUUGAAAGCCGUAGAUAUGAUCAUGGUUGAGUAUGGACGACCUGACGUCUGGAUGAUGGUUCAAGGUGUCGGAACUAAUCUGAUUUAGGAAUGCAUCGGUUGGUAUGAACAAGUCAUAUCUGUUGUCUGGGUUAUGUCCCAAGGCCGAUCAGGCCAGAUGAUGACUCAUCAGUUCCAAGUCAUGUGAGGAAGGUUGGUUGAUUGACUUAUGAUCUAAUGAGCUUUGUCAGUCCAUAAGAUGGACUUGGUACUAUCGCUUAUAAGGAAAAAGGAUUUUGGAUUGUGCAUGAGCCGAGAAAGGCCAGAUGCAAACCCUUAUCCUUUCAAAGACUUCUCAAAGGUUACUUAGGUCUUUGGGGAUGGUUGUUUGAAUGACUAAGUACCUCGGGGAGUUGUUUGAUGCCGGAAUCACGAUAAGGACCUUAAGUAAGAUCAUUGAGUGAUCGUGGUCCAGCUGUCAAGCAAGAUCAAUUUGAGUCAAUGGAGGACCGAUGAGCUAAUAAGCUCCAUAGAUGUGGCAAAGGUAUGAUCUAGCAUUUUCUUAUGUUGAUCUAGAUAGAAUGGUUUAGGGGAAUGGAACCUCAGAAUCGUAUGGCUUGGUUUGGGUUUAGGAUGGACCUUUAAGCUAAUUGGAAGUUGAGUAAACUGACCAAGGCUAAGGUGAUUCGACCAGACAAGUGUUAGAUUGGUUUUAGACCAAUGGUUUACUAGAGAAUAAUCGGCUGCGUAUCUGUUUAAAGGAUCUAGGCUAUUAAUGACUAGGGAAGUCUUUAGCUAAGAUCUAAGUUAGCUCUCGCAUUUAGGCGAUAUUAUAAAUAAAGGGCAAAAAUUAAGAGGUUCGGCCAGGAAGUGGACCGAGCGACGUGAGGCAUCGACCGCGGCCUAGGUGGCCAGGAUCGGGUCUUACAAGUUGGUAUCAGAGCAUGCUUGAUCCUGUUUAGGACAACGCUCUAAGAUGUUGGUUUCCAAACCCCAAUUAUUUCUGAAAACUAUGAUGACUAUGAAACCUUAGUUGGGGUGAGCCUAGAAAGAGUUGAGGUAAGCUAGGGUAUCAUGCUUGUGAAUGUGGGAGUUUUAAGAUGAACCGGCUUAGCCAAGAUACAUUUUCCAAGGGCAAGAUCCUCAAAACAGAAAUGUUGGUCGAUCUAGUUAUUUAGAAGUAAUAGACGGGUUGGAAGGGAUGAAAGCAAUGCAAAACUUGUUUAUGGAUUACCUGGACAAGGGAAGUAACAUGGACCAGAGAGUGGCUUAGGUUGAAAUAAACGUGGCACUCUACUGAAGUUAAGUGUUAUCCCUUGAUGGCCGUUUAUAAUAAGUAAAUCAUAUGCAAUGUUAAAUCUGACUCAAAGGAGACACUACAUGACCAGUACAUGAGUGGACUUGUGAUCAGAUGGAUCAGCUAGGACGCGGUAUAAGUCAAGGUAGGUUUCCUUAGAUCUAGUUGGAUGGAAUGAACUAAUUCCAAUCUGAAUCCGUCCAAGGAAAAAAAAUGAGGAAACUCAUGAUGUUUGUUCCAAUCAAUGGAAGAACAUGAUCUUAAGUACCGUAGUAUGAUGGGGAUUGAGGUAUAUUAAAAAUUGCUCUUGUGAAUGGUGUGAGCAUUCGCAAAAGUAAGACGCUUUGGAGAAUGGUAUGGGACGUUUUCCAAAUGUGUGGUCAAACCGAGAUCUUACUCAUCUAGGUAUCCAUUAGAAGUGGAAGUAUUGAAGUCAUUGGCAAUACCAUGAGGGAUGUAUGGGACGUUCUUUGUGGUGUGGGCAUGCGCUGAGAUAGUUCCCACAAGUGGAUUUGUGGUGUGGAAACACACGUACUUUUCGACACAGAGGCUACACAUAGUUUUUUGAGUCCAGGACUGGUUGGAAAGAGUCUGUUAUGUCUGAGUUCUAGGGAUGAUUCGAGACUAGUGAGGGCAGCCGGUGGGCAAAUUAAGCAUUCACUAGGGCUCAUGAAAAAUAUCCCGGUGAUGAUCCAGGAGAGAAAUCUGCCUGUAGAUCUGAUCGAGAAAAAUAUCCACGCGCCUACAAAAAUCACUAGAUGAUCCUAGGCAUGAAUCUGUUUGGGAAAGUAUCGGGCCACUCUCGAUCGCCACAAAGUUCGUGUGCAAUUGGAGACUGGACCUCACCCGAUCCAGUACCAAAGUCUGAGUCUGAGUCCAGCUCUAAGGAAAGUAGGGGUGUCAGCAGUCCAAGUGAAUCAGAUGCUUAGACAGGGUUGUGAAGUAUUUUUGCCACAACUACCACUACGGAGCACGGCAAUUCUGUUCAUCUGUCUGGGAUCUCAUUGGUAUCGAGAUCCAUUGUCUGAGUCCGGCUUCAAGGAAAGUAGUGGUGUCAGCAUUCCGUGUGGAUCGGAUGCUUAGACGGGAUUGUGAAGUAUUUUUUUGACCACAAUUACCACUAUGGAGCGCGGCAAAUUCUGUUGAUCUGAAAGAUCUGUUUGAGGACCCAUUGGUCUCCGAGUUCCCAGAUGUGUUCCGUUCGCUACAGAGUGUCCCCUCUGGUAGGUCGGAUCCAUUUUUGAUUGAACUGGAACCAGGGACAGCACCACUGUCCUAGAGUCCGUUUCUGUCGGCUCCGGCCGAGAUGGCAGAGCCGAAGUUGACCACGUCCGAGAGAGGACCAUGGUCGCAGUACAACCAAGUCGGAGUUUGACCUAAGGUUGAGAAUGAUCAAGUCCAGUAAAGGACAAGGAUCAGGCCACGACCUAUUCGGAGAUGGACCUAUGGUCAGGGUGAAACGGUCGAGUCCCUUAGUGGACCAGGACCAGAGUACGAUCGAGUCCAAGGAAGGACCAGGAUCGAAUUAUGACAAAGUCCAGUGAAGGACAGAAGUCAAGUCUGAGGCGUUUUUAGUCUGGAGGGACUAAGAUUGCAAUGUGGCCGAGCCUGAAAAGGUUAUGGCCGGUUAAGGGGAUGAUCCAGUACGUUGUGGCUGAGGUCAUGAACCUUAUUGUCCAUGAAGGACAAAAAAACCAUAACAAACUGUUAGGACUCGUUGUAGGACGAGCAGCCUAAAGAUUGGAACAAGUUCGUGAGGACUUGACUGGUACAUCGAGUGGUGUGAGGAUUGGCCAAGUAUGCAGCAUGUUCCUAGGGACUGAUUAUGAUCUAGUCUUGGACUAUCAUCAGAGAAAGAAUAAAAUCUGAAGAAGAUGCUAUUCAAAGGAAAGACAUAUACUUGUUGGAUACUAGGACAGCAACCUGGAGAGUUCGGCCAGUGACACAAGGAAUGUCUUUGGAUGGAUUCUCAAGUAUCCCUUGAAUGGGUGCUUGAUUGACCCUCGACUGUGGUCGAAGUAGACAAGUAAGGGUGCCAUCAGCGAAACCAGAAAGGACCACUUGAUAGGAUUUUUGUGGUUAAAUCCUUAUCAAGUGGGGGAGACUUGUAUAACGAUGGUCAAAGGAAUUUGAUCGUCGAAGUGGUCAUUUGGUGGUUUUGAAUCAAGCUUGUUCUAUUCUCUAAUCAAGACUAUAACAAGUUCGGUUGGAAUAUUUUGUCUUGGGACAAGGUAUAAUCAUCACCGGAUUCGAGGACGAAUCCAUUACAAGUGGGGGAGACUUGUCACGCCCCCAAUCCUAGAAAGGAUUUGUCGGGACGGCCAUGGUUCGAAGAAAUGUACCAGCCAGUCUUAGGACAUCAAGGCAAGCGUUCCAUGGUUGAGAAAGAAGGUUAAGAACAUAAGGAAACUUAGACUUAACCUUAUAUAAGCUAAGAGACAGCUAGGACGAGUAAGACGGUAACUGGACGAAGUAGACAAGUAGCUCGGCCAGCUCAACGAAGCUAGGUUUAGUUCACUCCAUCUCAGUCCCUACUAAGUCAGCUCCACUAGCUGGACUACUAGCUCACUCAGCUGAGGCAGCUGAGAGUCAGCUCACCUCAGCUAGACGGACUGUUUGGGUUUUUGGCCGAUGGUCCGGGUCCGGGUCAGUGGCGGGCUGUGAGGUCCGACCAUGAGGCCAUGGGCUGUUGGGUCUUUGGACAAGGCCGUGGGCUAAGUCCAGGAGGCUUGGGGCGUGGGUUGGGUUUAUCACCGACCCCAAACCCAAUCAUAAAGGGCGAUGGGAUGCAAGUGGCCGAGAGGGCACAACCCUUGGCCGAUGGUGCCCGUUCGCUAGCAAGUCGUGCCAGUUCGUGGGGCAAGACUUACCCCCUCGUUUUCUAUAAAUAUGGGGCCUAUCCUGUAACACCCCCGAACCGUCCUAAGCAUAGGUCGACCCACCGGCCAACAAUCAAACAAGAACAUGACCGACGGACAACCCACACCAAGGGUUGGAGAUGAAAGGCCAACCGGCCAGCCAACAAUCAAACAAGAACAUGACUGACCGUCCAACCCAACACCAUGGUCCGAAAGCGCUACGUGACGGGCUAGGGAAAAUCCGGUCAGAGUCACAAACUUUACUCCACGACCUAGACCAGUUCAUCAACUAACUCGUCCCGCUGCGUCAAGGCAUAAGGCUUUACAACCCGUACCUAGAGUUAGCGUUUUCCGUUAGAUCGAGGCCUAAGGCUUUUCAACCCGUACUACGACCUAACGUUGUGUUAGACCGGACUAGUCAAAUAUCAGAGUACUCAUGAAGCGCAUAUAAAACAAUUACUUUUAUUAAUUUAGGAAAUAUUCAUACAUAGAAUAAUCCAAGACUGGGCCCGGCCUAAUGCCAAAUCGAGUCAACAUAACACAAUUCACAAUACCGUUUACAAAAGGCAUGAAAAUCUACACCGGCGGUCCUAACGUCCAGCACCAAGCUAUCCGAUCAUCCUUACCUAAAGCGACCUGCAAAAAGGACAACGGAGUUGGAUGAGUAAUCUAGUAUUACUCAGUUCGCUGGCGGCCUCUACCCGCAACCUAGACUCUACCCAGACAACCCAAAAUAACAAUCAAUCUAGCCCUAGCAUGCAAUAAAAGCUAAGGCUAAGCAAACCGUUACUAAGUUAGACUUGGCCUCCUGCCAUGAUCUAGCUUCAAGUAACGGGAACCUGCAUAAAAACAAGUCAACAACCAAUCCCUAGUUAACCAUAUAUACGCCUGAGUUCAGUACUCAUGUAGUGUUAGACACUUAGACUAUACAAGUAUCACUAGUCGAUCGACCAACAAUCAAACAAGAACAUGAUCGGCCAACCAAUGAUACAGCAUAGCUUUAAUAUCCACCACCCUUCACAAGCAAUCCCUCAAACACAUACAGGACAACGUCAGGCCUACACUAACAAAAUACACACCAAGCCUAAUCCGGUACCUAAACCGGACUUAUGACUUAAUGUCAGAACCUGCAAGCAAAUCAGUCAACCACAAACACAAUCACAAUAAUAAGACUAUGAGUAUCUACGACUCGAUCUAACUCGUAACACCGUAUAUCGGUGUUACGCUAACUCGAGGGUUCCAUAACCCUCUACGACACUCUAAACACAACACAACACACUACCCCGGGAAAUGGUGACUUAGUGUUCAUCCUCUCUAUCGGCAAUAUCCUAUCUUCCUACCACAAAGGCCAGAAGAAGGAACUUUCAACCGACCGCGGCCCACAGUCCUUCGGGUCACCGCGCGACAGCCCACAGUCCUUCGGGUCACUGCCACAUUACACCGUCGUGUAAUAAUUCAGCCCUAGGCCAUGAUCCCGUCUCUCUGAGUCUUCCCGAUCCAGCGAAUAAGGGGUUUCCUUGAACCCGCUGGGUACGAGGCCGAGGAAACACUAAUCACCCCUACACAAGCCUAGUAUGGGGGGUUACGCACAUACUGUCGGCACACUCACACAACACAAACUCAAUCUAGAACCUAACCUAAAGAUAAAGUUCCAGAUCCUAACUGGACACUCGACUCCACAAGACUAACCAUAGUACCGGUAGUCCGGCCUAUAUGGCCUAAGACCCUUAGUACUAACUACUAAACGACUAAGCAAUAAUAAUCAAUACUAAUCAAUUAAAUCAAACCGUUAUCCAGAUAGUCCAGACUCCUGCUAUGAAACUAUCCUUAAAGAUAACGGGAACCUGCACUCAACCAAAUCAACACACAAGAAUAAAAAACAUGAUGCAUCCUAGCCCUAGUCCUAGUCAGGUUAUUAACUCAGUCUUAAUUCCAUUCAUCUCAGCUUAGCCCUUGCUAAACUGAGUCCAGUUCCAUAAAUAAAAAUAACCCUAAGGACUCUACCAUUCAAUAGCGUGAUCAUUCUAAUCUAUAUGCAGACUCGAUCUACCCUAAAUUCCAAGUGGAAGUCAAACAAACCAACUCACAGUGUUCUAGGUGAGAAGCUGCUGGUUGAUCGGAGAGGACUUGGCCAAAACCCAAGGGACGCCUUGACUGGACUGGACUGGACUGAUCUUGACUUGUACAGAACCUCCCCCGAUACUGGUCUGGACUGAACUCAACUCGAACAGCACCUUCCUUAGCUUCUGAACAAUUCUUCCGAAAUCUGAACAGAGUAUCAAACCAUAACCUCAACUGAACUGAAACCAUGGAACUGAACUGAUCUUGGACAGCACCUCCACUUGAUCAUCAAAGAAUAUGAGUAGAGUGAACAGAUUGACUUGGGCAGAGCUUCCGCAUAACAAUUGCAGAAAUUCUUCGAUUGGACAGAACUUCGCUUCUUGGUGAAGUAUCGAUCUUCGGAACUCAGCUACACUCUCUUUCUCUCUCUCUCUAACCACGUUGACUUGCUUCCCAUCUGAAUUGAUAUUCAAUUGGUUUAUCUUCAGUUGGCCAGAACCUUCCCUAGGCGCUGACUUGAAAUCAGUAGAAUAACUGUUCUCGAAAACUGCCGAAAAGACUCGAAAACGAUCGAAACUCGAACUUUCUUUCUCUAGCUUUCUCUCUCACGUUUUUCUCUGAUUUUCAGGUGUGCUGGAUGGUUUGAAAUGAGCUGGGGUCGUGGGGUUUAUAUAGGAUGUAGCAACCAAUCAGAAACAAGCCGUGUGGCAGCCCGUGUGUCGCUUCGCAUGGCUCCGGACGCAUGCGGCGUGGCACCUCGUGCUCCACAUGUCUGAUGGCAUGAACAGGACAUCAUGCAGAGUGGCACCAUGCCCUCCAGAUGUCUGAUCCACGGCCUGACCUCAUCCAGAUUGACACUCAGCGCACACAUGUCGCUCAGCAUGCUCCGAUCGCAGGUUUCGCGGCACCUCGUGCUUCUGGGUGUCAAUCAGCAUGCUGUGAUCUCCUGGGCUUCAACACCUCCUGCUUCCCUUGCCACAUACCAUUCCAGGCAGGUUACAUCACGUCCUUAUCUCAUAGAUAAGGCCAGCUCGAGCUUCUCGGUCCAUUCGACUGAUUUCGACCCUUCUGGUGAAUUUUUGUCCCGCGAUCAAUCCCGAAUAUUUUUCUACGCCCGUUCUGAUGAGAUGAAUAUUUUUAAUAAACUCCAAGUGAAUCCUGACCUUGAUGGAAAAUAUUUCCCGAGCCUCCGGCUUCCUCGAAAAACCGAUAAUACCAAAAUUAGGGUUUUCGCCCAACUUCGGGUUUUCCCGUCGUGCUUCAAUCCCGUCGUGCUUGCUUCCCGUCCUGCUUAAUUCCCGUCUUGCUUCCGACUUAUAAUGUCUUCAGAAUAAUAUUUUACUGAUACGAAGAUAUUCCGAGAAACUUCGCGAUGAAGAAACGUCAAUCUUCAAAAACGUCGAGCUUCUAAACCGUCGUGCUUCAAAAAUGUAAUUCUUCCAAAACUGCCGUAUGAUCAAUCUAAGACAUUUCUAACAAUGGUAGAGCAGCUUAUCUCAACUCAUGCUUCACUCACGAUCCAUUCUUCGAACUUCUCGUACUUCAAAUUUCCCGAUCGAUCUGUAUUGCCCGCGACUCAACCACAAAGAUACUCGACCAUUCUCUCUCUCUUUUCUUUUCUUCUUUUUUUUUUUAACGGGUUUCUACAUAUCCUGUUGGUUUCAUUAUCCAAUUCCAUAGUAAAAUAAGAGAAAAACGUAGAGAGAGAGAGAGAGAGAGAGAGUCCCAGCCAAGAGAUCGGCCGGAAAAGGGCCGGUCGUGGUGGUUUUGUAUCUCCGGCAAGGAGAACGGUUUAGGAAAGAGGAGGCAGUGUGGUUAUGAAUACCCAAGGCAUAUAGAAAGGCCUGGAGAAGGACUCCAAAGCCGUGGUUCAGUCAGAUAGGGUCAGUGGGUAACCACCGACUCAUCGGCUAAGAUAAUCCGACAGUCCGAACCGGUCUAGCCAUGGGCGUUUGGAUUGUGUCCUAUUCUUCUCAUUCUUUUCAUCCAAUUCUUCUUCUACUCCUUCUGUACAUUGGCGUGGCCUUGUUGAUGUGUUGGGAUUGGUUAUAACCGUGGUUCUGGUAGAGUAAUGCGGUCGCGGUCCAUAACCGACGAGUUAGGCGCGCGCAUGGUCUAAACCGGCCUCAGGUGAUCCGAUUGGAUAGGGGCGGUUAUGUUCUGCUCUGAACGGUUGCAACCCUUCCUUGAGCAGUCGCAAUGGUUUAUGACUUGGGUGGGUUAAGGCGUGAUCCUUUGGCCAUAGGCCGGACACACGCACGGACCAGACAGUCCAUACGGACGGGUAGGUCGAACGGUUGGAGCAUCUGAAUGGGUGAGAGAUGCCAAGGGUCAUGAGUUGCCAAGAGGCACGAGUGUCCAAAGGGUACUAAUUCCCAAAGGGUGUGAGUUCCAAACGGUGCCAUUGGUUCAAGGCUUAGGCCGAACCAAGUGGACAGUCCGCGGCUGCAUUGUCGAACGGACGGACGGUUAGUUUAACUGGAGUGUUGCGCAGCAAGAUCGGAUCGGUUGCAAGGCAAUCCGGUUUGGUCUUCGGCCUUACUCUGUGGUAUGGAUCCAGGCUUCGGGUCGGAUCAGGUAAGAAGGUCCGUGAGACUUUGGGCUGGACAUAUAACUGGCCGAUCGCACCUAGCUCUUAACCAGACGGUUAGACAGGACUAUGGAUGAUCCGACUAUGGUUGGAUGGUUCUAGUCGCAUAGGCUAAGUAGGAUAUCUUACAAUCAACCUCGGGUUGGUGAGUAGGAUAGGCGCCAUAUGCCUUAUAUAGGGCGUACACCCACAUGAUGGCAAUGGAAGGCCGGUUAUAUCAGUACAUGCUAAGUGGACGAUGGCUUAUCAAGUCUAGUGGUCGGAUCAUGUUUCAUGAUGAUGGUUCGAUGGCCGAGCACUAGUAUGGAUAGUCACGUUUCUGGAGUAAGAGUAUUGGUGUGAUGCUUCUAUAUAUCAACCUUGGUGUUGAUAGCUUCGGUAUUGGCUAAGAGCCAUGACGAAGUGUCUGGCUAGUAUUAUGUGUCGUAGACCAUAGGUACUAAGCCUAGGUGUGAUUGUUAAUGGAAAGCCGUGUAAUAUAUGAUCAUGUUUGAGUAUGGAAGACCUGACCUCUGGAUGAUGGUUCAAGGUGUCGGAACUAAUCUGAUUUAGGAAUGCAUCGGUUGGUAUGAACAAGUCAUAUCUGUUGUCUGGGUUAUGUCCCAAGGCCGAUCAGGCCAGAUGAUGACUCAUCAGUUCCAAGUCAUGUGAGGAAGGUUGGUUGAUUGACUUAGGAUCUAAUGAGCUUUGUCAGUCCAUAAGAUGGACUUGGUACUAUAGCCUAUAAGGCAAAAGGAUUUUGGAUUGUGCAUGAGCCGAGAAAGGCCAGAUGCAAACCCUUAUCCUUUCAAAGACUUCUCAAAGGUUGAAUGACUAAGUACCUAAGGGAGUUGUUUGAUGCAGGAAUCAAGAUAAGGACCUUAAGUAAGAUCAUUGAGUGAUCGUGGUCCAGCUGUCAAGCAAGAUCAAUUUGAGUCAAUGGAGGACCGAUGAGCUAAUAAGCUCCAUAGUUGUGGCAAAGGUAUGAUAUAGCAUUUACUUAUGUAGAUCUAGAUAGAAUGGUUUAGGGGAAUGGA